rnacentral:rRNA from 1 species
AUUGAACGCUGGCGGCAGGCUUAACACAUGCAAGUCGAGCGGAGCGAGGGUGCUUGCACCUUAGCUUAGCGGCGGACGGGUGAGUAAUGCUUAGGAAUCUGCCUAUUAGUGGGGGACAACAUUCCGAAAGGAAUGCUAAUACCGCAUACGCCCUACGGGGGAAAGCAGGGGAUCUUCGGACCUUGCGCUAAUAGAUGAGCCUAAGUCGGAUUAGCUAGUUGGUGGGGUAAAGGCCUACCAAGGCGACGAUCUGUAGCGGGUCUGAGAGGAUGAUCCGCCACACUGGGACUAGGAAACGGCCCAGACUCCUACGGGAGGCAGCAGUGGGGAAUAUUGGACAAUGGGCGGAAGCCUGAUCCAGCCAUGCAGCGUGUGUGAAGAAGGCCUUUUGGUUGUAAAGCACUUUAAGCGAGGAGGAGGCUACUUAGAUUAAUACUCUGGGAUAGUGGACGUUACUCGCAGAAUAAGCACCGGCUAACUCUGUGCCAGCCGCCGCCGUAA